AUUGAACGCUGGCGGCAGGCCUAACACAUGCAAGUCGAGCGAGCGGCGGACGGGUGAGGAAUGUAUGGGGACUGCCCGAUAGAGGGGGAUAACUACCGGAAACGGUAGCUAAUACCGCAUACUAUCGGAUAACCCAUAUGGUUUUGGCUAGUAGGUGAGGUAAUGGCUCACCUAGGCGACGAUCCCUAGCUGGUCUGAGAGGAUGAUUAGCCACACUGGGACUGUAAAACGGCCCAGACUCCUACGGAGGCAGCAGUGGGGAAGAUUGCACAAUGGGCGCAAGCCUGAUGCAGCCAUGCCGCGUGUAUGAAGAAGGCCCUAGGGUUGUAAAGUACUUUCAGUCGGGAGGCGUUACCGACAGAAGAAGCACCGGCUAACUCCGUGCCAGCAGCCGCGGUAAUAC
rnacentral:rRNA from 1 species